GAUGAACGCUAGCGGCAGGCCUAACACAUGCAAGUCGAGGGGCAGCACAGAAACAGCAAUGUUUUGGUGGCGACCGGCGGACGGGUGCGUAACGCGUAUGCAACCUACCUUUAACAGGGGGAUAACGGAGAGAAAUUUCCACUAAUACCCCAUAACAUCGAUCAAGGCAUCUUGAUUGGUUGAAAACUCCGGUGGUUAAAGAUGGGCAUGCGUUGUAUUAGGUAGUUGGUGAGGUAAUGGCUAACCAAGCCUACGAUACAUAGGGGGCCUGCGAGGUUAGCCCCCCACACUGGAACUGAGGCACGGACCAGACUCCUACGGGAGGCAGCAGUGAGGAAUAUUGGUCUAUGGGGGCAACCCUGACCCAGCCAUGCCGCGUGCAGAAAGCCAGCUCUAUGAGUUGUAAACUGCUUUUAAACAGGGAUAAAGCACAGUAUGUAUACUGUGUUGAAGGUACUGUAAGAAUAAGGAUCGGCUAACUCCGUGCCAGCAGCCGCGGUAA
rnacentral:rRNA from 1 species